GGAAGCGGAUCGGGUGGAGUGUAGGUCAUAUCGCCGCGAUAUCUCUUCCAAAUGCUUGAUGAAAAAGGUGGGAGGAUCACUUGAGCCAGGGAGUUGAAGGCUGCAGUGAGCCCUGUUUUUGCCACCACACUCCAGCUUGGUGAGGAGCGUCUCUGCCUGGCCACCCAUUGUCUGAGAUGUGAGGAGCCUCUCUGCCCGGCUGCCCAGUCUGGGAAAUGAGGAGCACCUCUGCACGGCCGCCAUCCCAUCUAGGAAGUGAGGAGCGCCUCUGCCCAGCCACCACCCCGUUUGGGAAGUGAGGAGCGUCUCUUCCUGGCCGCCCCGUCUAGGAAGUGAGGAGCCCCUCUGCUCGGCUGCCCUGUCUGGGAAGUGAGGAGCGCCUCUGCCUGGCCGCCCCGUCUGGGAAGUGAGGAGCACCGCUGCCUGGCCUCCCCGUCUGGGAAGUGAGGAGUGCCUCUGCCCGGCCGCCCCGUCUGGGAUGUGAGGAGCGCCUCU
rnacentral:lncRNA from 1 species